rnacentral:rRNA from 1 species
CGACUGGGAGCUACACCCCGGGAACUGGGGCUAAUUCCCGAUAGGUGAAGAACUCUGGAAUGAGUCUUUGCCCAAAAGGUGUCGGAUCAUGCUUUCGGCAUCGCCCAAGGAUGGGGCCGCGACCGAUCAGGUUGUUGGUGAGGUAAUGGCCCACCAAGCCUAUAACCGGUGCGGGCCGUGAGAGCGGGAGCCCGGAGAUGGGCACUGAGACAAGGGCCCAGGUCCUACGGGGCGCAGCAGUCGCGAAAACUUUGCAAUACACGAAAGUGUGACAGGGUCAUCCCGAGUGCCGACCGCUGAGGUUGGCUUUUACCCAGUCUAGAAAGCUGGGGGAAUAAGGAGAGGGCAAGUCUGGUGUCAGCCGCCGCGGUAAUACCAGCUCUCCGAGUGGUGUGGACGUUUAUUGGGCCUAAAGCAUCCGUAGCUGGCUGAACAAGUCCCCUGUUAAACCCACCGAUUUAAUCGUUGGUCUGCGGGGGAUACUGCUCGGCUAGGGGACGAGAGAGGCAGACGGUAUUCCCGGGGUAGGGGUGAAAUCCUAUAAUCCCGAGAGGACCACCAGUGGCGAAGGCUGUCUGCUAGAACGCGCCCGACGGUGAGGGAUGAAAGCUGGGGGAGCGAACCGGAUUAGAUACCCGGGUAGUCCCAGCUGUAAACGAUGCAGACUAGGUGUUUGGACGGCCACGUGCCGUUCUAGUGCCGCAGGGAAGCUGUUAAGUCUGCCGCCUGGGGAGUACGAUCGCAAGAUUGAAACUUAAAGGAAUUGGCGGGGGAGCAC